rnacentral:rRNA from 1 species
GAUGAACGCUGGCGGCAUGCCUAAUACAUGCAAGUCGAGCGAACAGACGAGGAGCUUGCUCCUCUGACGUUAGCGGCGGACGGGUGAGUAACACGUGGAUAACCUACCUAUAAGACUGGGAUAACUUCGGGAAACCGGAGCUUAUACCGGAUAAUAUAUUGAACCGCAUGGUUCAAUAGUGAAAUACGGUUUUGCUGUUACUUAUAGAUGGAUCCGCGCCGCAUUAGCUAGUUGGUAGGUAACGGCUUACCAAGGCAACGAUGCGUAGCCGACCUGAGAGGGUGACCGGCCACACUGGAACUGAGCCACGGUCCAGACUCCUACGGGAGGCAGCAGUAGGGAAUCUUCCGCAAUGGGCGAAAGCUUGACGGAGCAACGCCGCGUGAGUGAUGAAGGUCUUCGGAUCGUAAAACUCUGUUAUUAGGGAAGAACAGAUGUGUAAGUAACUAUGCACGUCUUGACGGUACCUAAUCAGAAAGCCACGGCUAACUACGUG